rnacentral:lncRNA from 1 species
UCCCAGUGGAGGUCCAAAAGGGAGGUCUAAUUGCUGGAGCACAACAUCUAGGUUUGGAAUUCUGGCAAUAGCAGCCUCACGGUCCUUCUUGAACUGCUUGUUGGCUUGCCACUGCACUAUGGCUGUCAUGUUAUUUAGAGUAUCCUGGCUCCUUUGUGUUGUGGCCUCUUGCCGGAGCAUAGCCUCCUGUAUCUAGUUUAAUCUUCUAGAACUAGACCUGGAACGUCUGCUCCUGGUACUGCCAUGGGCUAAGUGCCUAGCAUCACUUUCUUCUGACUCAAGUCCCUC